rnacentral:rRNA from 1 species
UACGUAGGUGGCAAGCGUUGUCCGGAAUUAUUGGGCGUAAAGCGCGCGCAGGCGGCCUUUUAAGUCUGAUGUGAAAGCCCACGGCUCAACCGUGGAGGGUCAUUGGAAACUGGGGAACUUGAGUACAGAAGAGGAAAGUGGAAUUCCACGUGUAGCGGUGAAAUGCGUAGAGAUGUGGAGGAACACCAGUGGCGAAGGCGACUUUCUGGUCUGUAACUGACACUGAGGCGCGAAAGCGUGGGGAGCGAACAGG